UACGUAGGGUGCAAGCGUUGUCCGGAAUUAUUGGGCGUAAAGAGCUCGUAGGCGGCUUGUCGCGUUCGGCUGUGAAAACCUGGGGCUCAACCCCGGGCCUGCAGCCGAUACGGGCAAGCUAGAAUUCGGUAGGGGAGACUGGAAUUCCUGUGGUAGCGGUGAAAUGCGCAGAUAUCAGGAGGAACACCGGUGGCGAAGGCGGGUCUCUGGGCCGAUAUUGACGCUGAGGAGCGAAAGCGUGGGGAGCGAACAGG
rnacentral:rRNA from 1 species